CCCAAGGAACCAGUGCAGUGAUAGUAAGAUCAAGAAGUUAAACAAAAGCUGGUUGCAUCGGUCACGAUUGAUUUUCAUUAAAGGUAGCACCACCUAAGCCACACCGGAUAACGCAGUCACCCUCCUCCAUAUCAAGUUCACUGUCUGAAUCUUCAGUGUCACUGGGGACGUCAGUAGGGGGAGAUGAAGGGGGAGACGAGUCAGCGGGGCUGACAAUAGCAUCCUGUAACUCUGAACCUACAAUUGAAGUUGUUUUUAUUUAUAUAUAAGUUUUGUUGUUUAUUUAUCAUAAUUUAUAUGAUUUGGAUUUUUAUUUAUGUGAAACCGUUACCUGCUUUACUCUUUUUGAAGAAUGUUGAAAUUGGCACUUGA